rnacentral:rRNA from 1 species
UACGUAGGUGGCAAGCGUUAUCCGGAAUUAUUGGGCGUAAAGCGCGCGCAGGUGGUUUCUUAAGUCUGAUGUGAAAGCCCACGGCUCAACCGUGGAGGGUCAUUGGAAACUGGGAGACUUGAGUGCAGAAGAGGAAAGUGGAAUUCCAUGUGUAGCGGUGAAAUGCGUAGAGAUAUGGAGGAACACCAGUGGCGAAGGCGACUUUCUGGACCGAGAUUGACACUGAUGAGCGAAAGCCAGGGGAGCAAACGGG